rnacentral:rRNA from 1 species
UACGAAGGGGGCUAGCGUUGUUCGGAAUCACUGGGCGUAAAGGGCGCGUAGGCGGCUUUAUAAGUCGGGGGUGAAAGCCUGUGGCUCAACCACAGAAUUGCCUUCGAUACUGUAGAGCUUGAGACCGGAAGAGGUAAGUGGAACUGCGAGUGUAGAGGUGAAAUUCGUAGAUAUUCGCAAGAACACCAGUGGCGAAGGCGGCUCUCUGGGACGGUACUGACGCUGAGACGCGAAAGCGUGGGGAGCGAACAGG